UAAAUUUACAUCUGAAUUUUCAAGCGAGAAAAUUGCUUUUCUGGACACCACCACAUUUGUAAAAAACGGGGUCAUGACAACUGAUCUUCACACAAAGAAAACUGAUAAACACCAGUUCCUUUCUUCAAAAAGUUGUCACCCGAAACACUGCUCCAGGAGUAUACCUUACAGUCAAGCCAUCAGACUAAAGCGAAUUUGCCCCUCGGAAUCCAAACUUAACUAUCGUUUGGGACAACUAAAAACACAACUGAAAUCAAGAGGAUACAAAACCAAAAACAUCACAGACGCUUUUGAUAAAGCCCAAGAAAAAGAUCGAGCUAGCCUCAUGGAAUACAAAGAUAAGACGACCCGUGAAGAUAGAAUUCCGUUUGUUGUAACCUUCCAUCCCGAUUUGACAAAUAUUUCAUCUACUAUCCGAAAGCACUGGCG
rnacentral:lncRNA from 1 species